rnacentral:rRNA from 1 species
GAUGAACGCUAGCGGCAGGCCUAAUACAUGCAAGUCGAACGCUCAGUAGCAAUACUGGGAGUGGCGCACGGUGCGUAACGCGUACACAAUCUACCUCUAAGCGGGGACACCUCCUGGAAACGGGGAUUAAUACCGCAUAAUAUGCCGAGGUCGCAUGACUUUGGUAUUAAAGCAGCAAUGCACUUAGAGAUGAGUGUGCGUCCCAUUAGGUAGUUGGUGAGGUAACGGCUCACCAAGCCUAUGAUGGGUACGCCGGUCUGAGAGGAUGGUCGGCCACACGGGCACUGAGACACGGGCCCGACUCCCUACGGGAGCAGCAGUAAGGAAUAUUGGUCAAAUGGUGGAAACACUGAACCAGCCAUUGCCGCGUCGGAGG